UACGUAGGGCGCAAGCGUUAUCCGGAAUUAUUGGGCGUAAAGAGCUCGUAGGCGGUUUGUCGCGUCUGCCGUGAAAGUCCGGGGCUCAACUCCGGAUCUGCGGUGGGUACGGGCAGACUAGAGUGAUGUAGGGGAGACUGGAAUUCCUGGUGUAGCGGUGAAAUGCGCAGAUAUCAGGAGGAACACCGAUGGCGAAGGCAGGUCUCUGGGCAUUACCUGACGCUGAGGAGCGAAAGUGUGGGGAGCGAACAGG
rnacentral:rRNA from 1 species